rnacentral:rRNA from 1 species
GAUGAACGCUGGCGGCGUGCCUAAUACAUGCAAGUCGAGCGAACGGACGAGAAGCUUGCUUCUCUGAUGUUAGCGGCGGACGGGUGAGUAACACGUGGAUAACCUACCUAUAAGACUGGGAUAACUUCGGGAAACCGGAGCUAAUACCGGAUAAUAUUUUGAACCGCAUGGUUCAAAAGUGAAAGACGGUCUUGCUGUCACUUAUAGAUGGAUCCGCGCUGCAUUAGCUAGUUGGUAAGGUAACGGCUUACCAAGGCAACGAUGCAUAGCCGACCUGAGAGGGUGAUCGGCAACACUGGAACUGAGACACGGUCCAGACUCCUACGGGAGGCAGCAGUAGGGAAUCUUCCGCAAUGGGCGAAAGCCUGACGGAGCAACGCCGCGUGAGGGAUGAAGGUCUUCGGAUCGUAAAACUCUGUUAUUAGGGAAGAAAAUAUGUGUAAGUAACUGUGCACAUCUUGACGGUACCUAAUCAGAAAGCAACGGCUAACUACGUG